GCGGCGGAUUAGGUUGUUGGCGAGGUAACGGCUCACCAAGCCAAAGAUCCGUACGGGCCUUGAGAGAGGUAGCCCGGAGAAGGACACUGAGAAACUGGUCCUAGCCCUACGGGGUGCAGCAGGCGCGAAACCUUUACACUGCACGAAAGUGUGAUAAGGGAAUCCUAAGUGCUCAUGCACAGCAUGGGCUUUUGCCAAGUGUAAAUAGCUUGGAGAAUAAGUGGUGGGUAAGACUGGUGCCAGCAGCCGCGGUAACCCCAGCGCCACAAGUGGCAACCACAUUUACUUGGUCUAAAGCGUCCGUAGCUGGUUAUGUAAAUCUUUUGUGAAAUUGUCAAGCUUAACUUGACAGCGCGCAAAAGACACUGCAAAACUUGAGACCGGGAGAGGUUAGGAGUAUUUCUUGGGGACCGGUAAAAUGGGAUAAUCCAGGAAAGACUACCAGUGGCGAAGGCGCCUAACCAGAACGGUUCUGACAGUGAGGGACGAAGGCUAGGGGAGCGAACCGGAUUAGAUACCCGAGUAGUCCUAGCAGUAAACGCUGUGAAUUAGGUGUUGCACAACUUAUCAAGGUUGUGCAGUGUCGAAGAGAAGUCGUUAAAUUCACCACCUGGGAAGUAUGGUCGCAAGACUGAAACUUAAAGGAAUUGGCGGGGGAGCAC
rnacentral:rRNA from 1 species